UACGGAGGGUGCAAGCGUUAUCCGGAUUCACUGGGUUUAAAGGGUGCGUAGGCGGGCAGGUAAGUCCGUGGUGAAAUCUCUGAGCUUAACUCAGAAACUGCCAUGGAUACUAUUUGUCUUGAAUAUUGUGGAGGUAAGCGGAAUAUGUCAUGUAGCGGUGAAAUGCUUAGAUAUGACAUAGAACACCAAUUGCGAAGGCAGCUUACUACACAGUUAUUGACGCUGAGGCACGAAAUCUUGGGGAUCAAACAGG
rnacentral:rRNA from 1 species